rnacentral:lncRNA from 1 species
AAGCGCAGUAAGACAUAGAUUUGCACCGGAGGCUAAUGCCUCAACCGCCCUGAUUUUGAGCAUCUGAGAAGACAAGACUGAAACACUGUCUC